UACGGAGGGAGCUAGCGUUAUUCGGAAUUACUGGGCGUAAAGCGUGCGCAGGCGGUUCGGCAAGAAAGGUGUGAAAUCCCAGGGCUUAACCUUGGAAUGGCACUUUUAACUGCCGGGCUAGAGUAUGUCAGAGGGGGGUAGAAUUCCACGUGUAGCAGUGAAAUGCGUAGAGAUGUGGAGGAAUACCGAUGGCGAAGGCAGCCCCCUGGGAUAAUACUGACGCUCAGGCACGAAAGCGUGGGGAGCAAACAGG
rnacentral:rRNA from 1 species